rnacentral:rRNA from 1 species
UACGUAGGGGGCAAGCGUUGUCCGGAUUUAUUGGGCGUAAAGCGCGCGUAGGCGGCCCGGUAAGUCCGUUGUAAAAGUCGAAGGCUCAACCUUCGAAAGCCGAUGGAUACUGCCGGGCUAGAGUCCGGAAGAGGCGAGUAGAAUUCCUGGUGUAGCGGUGGAAUGCGCAGAUAUCAGGAGGAAUACCCAUAGCGAAGGCAGCUCGCUGGGACGGCACUGACGCUGAGGCGCGAAAGCGUGGGGAGCGAACAGG